CUUCCAAAACGAACAACUUCCAGGCUUAUAACUCUUAUUUUUGCUUUGGCACUUUCCAAACUUUUUUUUUCGUCUUUCCUCUCCAUAAAUUUUGUUCCAGAUUUCUAAUUAUAACAUUGAUUCUUAUUAAACAACCUUGAAAUCACCUCCUUUGGUGAAAAAAGAAAGAAUUGAUGGUUAAUGAGUCUCACAGAGUAAUCGUUGCUUUAUGUUUCUCCAGAUUUUUCUUGCUGAUGAAUGAUGGUCGUGUAAUUCAUAUUCAUGUCCUCGUAAUCAGCUUUGCAUCCAGAAGAAGCUCUUUCUUCGAAUGAGCUGAGAGCAACCGAUGCAUAUAUAUUUUGAGGAUUUCCCCAAAUCUUAUUUAUCUUCUACCCGUUGGUAGAGUGGGAGAAUCUCAUGUUUGUUAUCUGAAUUAGGAGACCAAAGCAGAGGAAGAACUUGAACGGAAGAAAAGAAGGAUGUCAAGGUUUUUCAGGAGGUUAAAGAGGAAGAUCUUGAGGAUUUUUUAUCAGACAUGCGUAUUUGGAUCCAUGGAAAAGCAGCGUGCAGGUGGAACCGCUUCUUCCGUUUUCACUUGCCAUGAAAGAUGCUGACGUAACAUCAGACCCUAAAGAGCUUUUAUUGGUUGCAGUGGUUGAAGAUCUAGAGGAUGAGGAUCAUACCUCUCAGAUAUACAAGAACAUUAGAGAGAAGUAGGGAGUUAGUUACACGGAGGCUGAGAUAAUUACUAGAUGCAAAAAGCCUAUCAUAAACCAAGGGGUAGAUCUCACCUCAGGUAUCGCUCCCUGAUCUUCACUAUACGAAACCUGAUGCAUACCGGAAGGAAUCGAAUGAGAGGACAACAAGGUGAAGCGGUGGAUCAGAUGAGAGGUAUGUUUCGUAUAGCCAUUGACAGAGUGGGUCUGAUCAGAAGUCAAAACCAGUAGCCGGAAUGUUUUGCAUUAUCCUUGAUUUACUUAAUUGCUUACAUCAUCAUUGAAUGAAAAUUAGAAGUUACAGC